rnacentral:rRNA from 1 species
AUUGAACGCUGGCGGCAUGCCUUACACAUGCAAGUCGAACGGUAACAGGUCUUCGGACGCUGACGAGUGGCGAACGGGUGAGUAAUGCAUCGGAACGUGCCCAGUCGUGGGGGAUAACUGCUCGAAAGAGCAGCUAAUACCGCAUACGACCUGAGGGUGAAAGCGGGGGACCGUAAGGCCUCGCGCGAUUGGAGCGGCCGAUGUCAGAUUAGCUAGUUGGUGGGGUAAAGGCCUACCAAGGCAACGAUCUGUAGUUGGUCUGAGAGGACGACCAGCCACACUGGGACUGAGACACGGCCCAGACUCCUACGGGAGGCAGCAGUGGGGAAUUUUGGACAAUGGGCGCAAGCCUGAUCCAGCAAUGCCGCGUGCAGGAAGAAGGCCUUCGGGUUGUAAACUGCUUUUGUCAGAGAAGAAAUCUUCUGGGCUAAUACCCCGGGAGGAUGACGGUACCUGAAGAAUAAGCACCGGCUAACUACGUG